ACGGGGUGCAGCAGGCGCGAAACCUUUACACUGUACGCAAGUACGAUAGGGGGACACCGAGUGCGAGGGCAUAGAGCCCUCGCUUUUGUACACCUUAAGGUGGUGCACGAAUAAGGGCUGGGCAAGACCGGUGCCAGCCGCCGCGGUAACACCGGCAGCCCAAGUGAUGGCCGCUAUUAUUGGGCCUAAAGCGUCCGUAGCUGGCCGUUCAGGUCCGUCGGGAAAUCCACUGGCUUAACCAGUGGGCGUCCGGCGGAAACCGUUCGGCUUGGGACAGGGAGACCAGAGGGGUACGUCCGGGGUAGGAGUGAAAUCCUGUAAUCCUGGACGGACCAUCGGUGGCGAAAGCGCCUCUGGAGAACUGAUCCGACAGUGAGGGACGAAAGCUGGGGUCUCGAACCGGAUUAGAUACCCGGGUAGUCCCAGCCGUAAACGAUGCUCGCUAGGUGUGUCGCAGGCUACGAGCCUGCGAUGUGCCGUAGGGAAGCCGAGAAGCGAGCCGCCUGGGAAGUACGUCCGCAAGGAUGAAACUUAAAGGAAUUGGCGGGGGAGCAC
rnacentral:rRNA from 1 species